CAUCAAUAAAUUAGAUCAAAGAGAAUGAAAAAAGGGGUGAACCAACCGAACAAUUGGUUUCCAUCCUGUUAAAAGAAGAAGAUCCUGAGAAGACGGUCCAAAUUGGAUUGCAGUUAUCUGAUCUAGAACGACAACAAAUUAAUAAAUCUAUUGAGAGCAAAUGCUAACAUUUUUGCUUGAUCAGUUACUGACAUAUCCGGUAUUCCUCCGGAGGUAAUAACUCAUCGGUUCAAUAUCGAUCCAAAGGUCAAGCCGGUGAGACAGAAGGAA
rnacentral:lncRNA from 1 species